UUCUGCGGGCCCAGCAGCUCCGGGAACGGUCAGCGUGGGGGGCCGGCCUGGCGGGACAUUUGGGGUCCCCCAUACGUGGACCUAUGCCUGUUGUAAGAUGUUUGGAAGAGCGUCGAAAGAUGAGAUCAUGUUGUGUGCUUGGAAGCUGAAUGAAGAACCGGCUUGCAAAGGAGAAGAUAAGCGCGUGCAGUCCCGGCGCGGCCCGCUCUGCUCAGUUCUCCAGGGCGGGCCUUGGCCUGGACUGCGUGUCGGGAGGACUCGCGGGCCCCGCAUUGCCGCAUGCCACCGGCAGGUGUCUCUUUCCUGGCUUGGGAACCUAUUGUGGUAUCACAGCUCCUGGCCUGCUUGAGAUCUGUGGGAGUGAGUCAGUGCUGGAGAUCUGAGCUGGAAGCUGCCUGGAGUCCUUCUGCACUGAUAUUUUGUCCCUUUUCCUAACUGUCCGGUCAUUCAUGAGGAUGAGUGUCCCCAGAUGUGCCUGUCUCAGGGCACCCUCUCCUGGGCACACCUGAUUGGAUCAAGCUGUGCACCUGACCCAGGCUGGGACAACCAAAUUCCCUCUCCCAGGAAUCUGGUAUUGGACUGAGGACAGCCACUCACCUUUGGCUAAUCUCUUUAGGAGAGAAGAUGUAGAUGUGAUAGUUGUUGAGGGAUUAUCCUCUGCCCAGCUACUCACAGAGAAGAAAGUGGAUUGCAGAGAGAGACGUGAAGCAGAGAAGAAAGCUGGAGAAGGUGGACUGUCUAGGUUCCUAGCAGCUUCUCGGGCUACCUUGAGGCCAUCUGCCCUUGGACUUCAUGAGAUACUGCUAUACUCUUCUAUGUCCCUUAAUGCUUAAGUCAGCUCAAGUUGAUUACUUCCAACCAAAAGGACUUAACUCAGACAAGGACAAAGCCAAGACCAUCAGUGAGAUUUUUUUUCUUUAUAACCAGGUCCCUUACAGCAUCCUGGGGAGCACUGUAGGUCCUAAAUACACAUUAUUCACAUUAUUCACUCUCCAAAGGCUUCCAUUAGGCAAAAACAUCUUCUCAUCCAAGGCCAACUAGAUUAGCAAAUGGCAUUUCUUCUGGCUUUCUGUCCCCAGAGGGCAAAUGCACAGAUGACUGCAGUUAGCGAUAGACUCCGUGAGUUAGUAUUUGCUGAGGGCACACACCCUGAGACUUGAACGACAGAAAUCCCCAGGUGCCAAGGAGGAGACUGGCAAUUAUGCCUCCAAUCACCUCCCUGUUCUGCCGCCCUCUAAAUCAGCACUCCCCACCGCGGUGACCCUCAAUGACUGGCAAGACGACCCAUUUUUAAAGGGCCAAUUUUUAACAGCUGGAAACAAUAAACAUCGUGGGAGGUGAA